rnacentral:rRNA from 1 species
UCCUGUCUGAAUAUGGGGGGCCCAUCCUCCAAGGCUAAAUACUCCUGACUGACCGAUAGUGAACCAGUACCGUGAGGGAAAGGCGAAAAGAACCCCGGCGAGGGGAGUGAAAAAGAACCUGAAACCGUGUACGUACAAGCAGUGGGAGCACGCUUAGGCGUGUGACUGCGUACCUUUUGUAUAAUGGGUCAGCGACUUAUAUUCUGUAGCAAGGUUAACCGAAUAGGGGAGCCGAAGGGAAACCGAGUCUUAACUGGGCGUUAAGUUGCAGGGUAUAGACCCGAAACCCGGUGAUCUAGCCAUGGGCAGGUUGAAGGUUGGGUAACACUAACUGGAGGACCGAACCGACUAAUGUUGAAAAAUUAGCGGAUGACUUGUGGCUGGGGGUGAAAGGCCAAUCAAACCGGGAGAUAGCUGGUUCUCCCCGAAAGCUAUUUAGGUAGCGCCUCGUGAAUUCAUCUCCGGGGGUAGAGCACUGUUUCGGCAAGGGGGUCAUCCCGACUUACCAACCCGAUGCAAACUGCGAAUACCGGAGAAUGUUAUCACGGGAGACACACGGCGGGUGCUAACGUCCGUCGUGAAGAGGGAAACAACCCAGACCGCCAGCUAAGGUCCCAAAGUCAUGGUUAAGUGGGAAACGAUGUGGGAAGGCCCAGACAGCCAGGAUGUUGGCUUAGAAGCAGCCAUCAUUUAAAGAAAGCGUAAUAGCUCACUGGUCGAGUCGGCCUGCGCGGAAGAUGUAACGGGGCUAAACCAU